rnacentral:tRNA from 1 species
GAAGAUACAGCUCAGUGGUUGAGUGCAUGCCUAGCAUGCACAAGGUCCUGGGUUCAAUCCCCAGUAUCUCCA